AUGAACGGCUGGCGGCGUGCCUUAGGCCUGCAAGUCAUGGGGACCCCGCAAGGGGUAACCGGCGGACGGUUGAGUAACGCGUGGGAAUCUACCCUAAAGUGUAGGGAAUAGCUAGCCGAAAGGUGGGUAAUACUGCAUGUGAUCGCAAGAUUAAAGAAGCAAUUCGCUUUCAGGGAUGAGGCCUGCGUACGAUUAGCUAGUUGGUGGGGUAAAAGGCCUACCAAGGCUACGAUCUUUAGCUGGUCUUAGAGGAUGGUCACAGCCAGAAUGGGACUGAGAGACACGGCCAUACAUCUAUCGGAUGGCAGCAACCGUGGGAAUCUUGGACAAUGGGCGAAAGCCCUGAUCCAGCGACGCCGCGUGGAGGAUUGAAGGCCCUCGGGUUGUAAACUCCUUUUGGGUGGAAGAAUUAUGACGGUACCACCAGAAUAAGCACCUGCUAACUACGUGCCAGAAGCCUCGGUAAUACGUAGGGUGCAAGCGUUUAUCCGGAUUUACUGGGCGUAAAGUGUUGCGUAGGCGGUUCGCUGCAUCUUGUCUGAAGGGCAAUGGCUCAACCAUUGUUUUCGGGACAGAAAUGAACUGAACUUGAAUGGUUGGGAGAGGGUACUGAACAGAUUAUGUAGCAGUGAAAUGCGUUGAUAUAGAUCUGGAACACCAAGGCGUAGGCAGGUACCUUGGUCAACCCGAUGACGCUGAGGCACGAAAGCGUGGGGAGCGAAGCAAGAUUAGAGACCUGCGUAGUCCAAGCCGUAAACGAUCCUUGCUAGAUGCCCGAGUUCGCUUGGGUGUCGUAAGCUAACGCCGUUAAGCAAGGCGCCUGGGGAGUACGAGCGCAAGGCUUAAAACUCAAAGGAAUUGACGGGGAGGGCGCACAAGCAGUGGAGCAUGUGGUUGUAAUUCGAUACAACAGCGAAAAAACCUCACCAGGGCUUGACAUGUAGCUGCAAAUCCUAAGAAACUAGGACUUCUUCGAGGAGUGCUACACAGAUGCUUGCAUGGCUGUCGUAAGUUCGUGGCGUGAGCUGUACCCUUAAGUGGGUCAACGACGAAACCCGCAUUGUAUGUUAAAUAAUUCAUACAAAACAGCCCCAUUUUUUGGGGAGGAAGGGGCGGAUGACGUCAAGUCAGCACGGCUCUUACGCCCUGGGCUACACACAUCCUACACACGGCGAAUAACAACGAGCUGCAAGCGGGUAACCGCAAGCUAAUCUCUAAAAUUUCGCCUCAGUUCAGAUUGAGGGCUGCCAAUUCGCCCUCAUGAAGUCGGAAUUGCUAGUAAUCGCGAAUCAGGCAGGUCGCGUGAAUACGUUCUCUGCCUCUUGUACACACCGCCCGUCAAGGCAGCAAAGUUGGGGGCAGCCCGGAAUACCCUUACAAGGGUAGAAGGCGAAACCAGCGAUGAUAGCUU
rnacentral:rRNA from 1 species